GACGAACGCUGGCGGCGUGCUUAACACAUGCAAGUCGAACGGAAAGGCCCUGCUUUUGUGGGGUGCUCGAGUGGCGAACGGGUGAGUAACACGUGAGUAACCUGCCCUUGACUUUGGGAUAACUUCAGGAAACUGGGGCUAAUACCGGAUAGGAGCUCCUGCUGCAUGGUGGGGGUUGGAAAGUUUCGGCGGUUGGGGAUGGACUCGCGGCUUAUCAGCUUGUUGGUGGGGUAGUGGCUUACCAAGGCUUUGACGGGUAGCCGGCCUGAGAGGGUGACCGGCCACAUUGGGACUGAGAUACGGCCCAGACUCCUACGGGAGGCAGCAGUGGGGAAUAUUGCACAAUGGGCGGAAGCCUGAUGCAGCAACGCCGCGUGCGGGAUGACGGCCUUCGGGUUGUAAACCGCUUUCGCCUGUGACGAAGCGUGAGUGACGGUAAUGGGUAAAGAAGCACCGGCUAACUACGUGCCAGCAGCCGCGGUGAUACGUAGGGUGCGAGCGUUGUCCGGAUUUAUUGGGCGUAAAGGGCUCGUAGGUGGUUGAUCGCGUCGGAAGUGUAAUCUUGGGGCUUAACCCUGAGCGUGCUUUCGAUACGGGUUGACUUGAGGAAGGUAGGGGAGAAUGGAAUUCCUGGUGGAGCGGUGGAAUGCGCAGAUAUCAGGAGGAACACCAGUGGCGAAGGCGGUUCUCUGGGCCUUUCCUGACGCUGAGGAGCGAAAGCGUGGGGAGCGAACAGGCUUAGAUACCCUGGUAGUCCACGCUGUAAACGGUGGGUACUAGGUGUGGGGUCCAUUCCACGGGUUCCGUGCCGUAGCUAACGCUUUAAGUACCCCGCCUGGGGAGUACGGCCGCAAGGCUAAAACUCAAAGGAAUUGGCGGGGCCCCGCACAAGCGGCGGAGCAUGCGGAUUAAUUCGAUGCAACGCGUAGAACCUUACCUGGGUUUGACAUGGAUCGGGAGUGCUCAGAGAUGGGUGUGCCUCUUUUGGGGUCGGUUCACAGGUGGUGCAUGCCUGUCGUCAGCUCGUGUCGUGAGAUGUUGGGUUAAGUCCCGCAACGAGCGCAACCCUUGUUCACUGUUGCCAGCACGUUAUGGUGGGGACUCAGUGGAGACCGCCGGGGUCAACUCGGAGGAAGGUGGGGAUGACGUCAAGUCCUCAUGCCCCUUAUGUCCAGGGCUUCACGCAUGCUACAAUGGCUGGUACAGAGAGUGGCGAGCCUGUGAGGGUGAGCGUAUCUCGGAAAGCCGGUCUCAGUUCGGAUUGGGGUCUGCAACUCGACCUCAUGAAGUCGGAGUCGCUAGUAAUCGCAGAUCAGCAACGCUGCGGUGAAUACGUUCCCGGG
rnacentral:rRNA from 1 species